rnacentral:rRNA from 1 species
AGCGAACGUUAGCGGCGCGCCUAACACAUGCAAGUCGCACGAGAAAGGGCUUCGGCCCCGGUAAAGUGGCGCACGGGUGAGUAACACGUGGGCAACCUGCCCAACCCUGGGGGAUAACCUGCCGAAAGGCGGGCUAAUACCGCGUACGAGGGCUCGACUUCGGUCGGGUUCUGAAAGCAGGCCUCUGCAUACAAGCUUGUGGGGUUGGAUGGGCCCGCGCUCCAUCAGCUAGUUGGUGAGGUAACGGCUCACCAAGGCUACGACGGAUAGCUGGUCUGAGAGGAUGAUCAGCCACACUGGAACUGAGACACGGUCCAGACUCCUACGGGGGGCAGCAGUGGGGAAUCUUGCGCAAUGGACGAAAGUCUGACGCAGCGACGCCGCGUGGGUGACGAAGGCCUUCGGGUUGUAAAGCCCUGUGGGGUGAGACGAACAGCUGGGAUUCGAAUAGGGUCUUGGUCUGACGGUAUCACCUUAGCAAGCACCGGCUAACUCUGUGCCAGCCGCCGCCGUAACAC